rnacentral:rRNA from 1 species
UACGUAGGUGGCAAGCGUUGUCCGGAAUUAUUGGGCGUAAAGCGCGCGCAGGUGGUUCCUUAAGUCUGAUGUGAAAGCCCACGGCUCAACCGUGGAGGGUCAUUGGAAACUGGGGAACUUGAGUGCAGAAGAGGAAAGUGGAAUUCCAAGUGUAGCGGUGAAAUGCGUAGAGAUUUGGAGGAACACCAGUGGCGAAGGCGGCGUCCUGGACCAACACUGACACUGAUGAGCGAAAGCCAGGGGAGCAAACGGG